rnacentral:rRNA from 1 species
AUUGAACGCUGGCGGCAUGCCUUACACAUGCAAGUCGAACGGCAGCACGGGAGCAAUCCUGGUGGCGAGUGGCGAACGGGUGAGUAAUAUAUCGGAACGUGCCCAGUCGUGGGGGAUAACGUAGCGAAAGCUACGCUAAUACCGCAUACGAUCUAUGGAUGAAAGCGGGGGAUCGCAAGACCUCGCGCGAUUGGAGCGGCCGAUAUCAGAUUAGGUAGUUGGUGGGGUAAAGGCUCACCAAGCCGACGAUCUGUAGCUGGUCUGAGAGGACGACCAGCCACACUGGGACUGAGACACGGCUCAGACUCCUACGGGAGGCAGCAGUGGGGAAUUGUGGACAAUGGGCGCAAGCCUGAUCCAGCAAUGCCGCGUGCAGGAUGAAGGCCUUCGGGUUGUAAACCGCUUUUGUACGGAGCGAAAAGGCUUCCACUAAUACUGGGGGCUCAUGACGGUACCGUAAGAAUAAGCACCGGCUAACUACGUGCCAGCCGCCGCGGUAACAC